GGCUUAGUGGCCAAGUAGUAAGGCGUUGGUCUUGUAAACCAAAGAUCCAAGGUUCGAACCCCUGCUGGGCCU
rnacentral:tRNA from 1 species